AGAACCUGAAACCGUGUGCUUACAAGUAGUCAGAGCCCGUUAAUGGGUGAUGGCGUGCCUUUUGUAGAAUGAACCGGCGAGUUACGAUUUGAUGCAAGGUUAAGCAGUAAAUGUGGAGCCGUAGCGAAAGCGAGUCUGAAUAGGGCGUUUAGUAUUUGGUCGUAGACCCGAAACCAGGUGAUCUACCCUUGGUCAGGUUGAAGUUCAGGUAACACUGAAUGGAGGACCGAACCGACUUACGUUGAAAAGUGAGCGGAUGAACUGAGGGUAGCGGAGAAAUUCCAAUCGAACCUGGAGAUAGCUGGUUCUCUCCGAAAUAGCUUUAGGGCUAGCCUCAAGUGAUGAUUAUUGGAGGUAGAGCACUGUUUGGACGAGGGGCCCCUCUCGGGUUACCGAAUUCAGACAAACUCCGAAUGCCAAUUAAUUUAACUUGGGAGUCAGAACAUGGGUGAUAAGGUCCGUGUUCGAAAGGGAAACAGCCCAGACCACCAGCUAAGGUCCCAAAAUAUAUGUUAAGUGGAAAAGGAUGUGGCGUUGCCCAGACAACUAGGAUGUUGGCUUAGAAGCAGCCAUCAUUUAAAGAGUGCGUAAUAGCUCACUAGUCGAGUGACACUGCGCCGAAAAUGUACCGGGGCUAAACAUAUUACCGAAGCUGUGGAUUGUCCUUUGGACAAUGGUAGGAGAGCGUUCUAAGGGCGUUGAAGCAUGAUCGCAAGGACAUGUGGAGCGCUUAGAAGUGAGAAUGCCGGUGUGAGUAGCGAAAGACGGGUGAGAAUCCCGUCCACCGAUUGACUAAGGUUUCCAGAGGAAGGCUCGUCCGCUCUGGGUUAGUCGGGUCCUAAGCUGAGGCCGACAGGCGUAGGCGAUGGAUAACAGGUUGAUAUUCCUGUACCACCUAUAAUCGUUUUAAUCGAUGGGGGGACGCAGUAGGAUAGGCGAAGCGUGCGAUUGGAUUGCACGUCUAAGCAGUA
rnacentral:rRNA from 1 species